rnacentral:rRNA from 1 species
GACGAACGCUGGCGGCGUGCUUAACACAUGCAAGUCGAACGAGAGCGUAGAGAAAGCUUGCUUUUUCUACAAUCUAGUGGCAAACGGGUGAGUAACGCGUAAACAACCUGCCCUACGGAUGGGGACAACAGCAGGCAACGGCUGCUAAUACCGAAUACGUUACGAACAUCGCAUGACUAUCGGAAGAAGGGAUGGCCUCUAUUUAUAAGCUAUCGCCGGAGGAGGGGUUUGCGGCUGAUUUGCUAGUUGGGGGGGUAAAGGACCUCCAAGGCGACGAUCAGUAGCCCGUCUGGGGAGGUGGACGGCCACAUUGGAACCGGGACACGGGCCCGACUCCUACGGGAGGCAGCAGUGGGGAAUCCUCCGCAAUGGGCCGAAGCCUGACGGAGCAACGCCGCGUGAGUGGAGACGGCCUUCGGGUUGUAAAGCUCCUUUAUUCGGGACGAAUAAUCUUGUUGUUAAUACCCAUGAGAAGUGACGGUACCGAAAGAGAAAGCCACGGCUAACUACGUG